rnacentral:rRNA from 1 species
CGAACCGACCCCCGUUGCAAUGGUGGCGGAUGACUUGUGGAUAGCGGAGAAAUUCCAAUCGAACUCGGAGAUAGCUGGUUCUCCCCGAAAUAGCUUUAGGGCUAGCGUUAUGUUAGAUUACCGGAGGUAAAGCACUGAAUGGUAGCGGGGCCGAUAAGGUUACCAACGCCUAUCAAACUAAGAAUGCCGGCUAAUUGAUGCAUAGCAGUCAGACAGUGUGAGAUAAGUUUCAUUGUCAAAAGGGAAACAGCCCAGACCUACAGCUAAGGUCCCUAAUGUGCGCUAAGUGGAAAACGAUGUGGAGUUGCGAAAACAACCAGGAUGUUGGCUUAGAAGCAGCCACUCAUUAAAAGAGUGCGUAAUAGCUCACUGGUCGAGUGACUCUGCGCGGAAAAUGUAACGGGGCUAAGCGUAUAACCGAAGCUUAGGAUGCAGCAAUGCGUGGUAGGGGAGCGUCGAAUACGGGGUGAAGUCGCAUCGGAAGGAGCGGUGGACUGUAUUCGAGUGAGAAUGCCGGAAUGAGUAGCGAGAAUUAUGUGGGAAUCAUAAUGGCCGAAAAUCUAAGGUUUCUUGGGGAAGGUUCGUCCGCCCAAGGUAAGUCGGGAGCUAAGCUCAGGCCGAGAGGCGUAGGCGAUGCACAUACGGUAGAAAUUCCGUAACCACCGAAACUUAAACAGAGGGACACUUCGAAAUAGCGGAACCCGGGCGUUGGUUGACCCGGGCGUAAGGGAGCGAAAAUAGAGUAGCGAAGUCCGCGAUGUUCGGAGGCGAGAAAAGCUCUGAGGUAUGCUAAGGUGCCCGUACCGCAAACCGACACAGGUAGAUGAGGAGAGAAUCCUAAGGCCAACGGGAGAAGGGUUGUUAAGGAACUCGGCAAAUUGACCCCGUAACUUCGGAAGAAGGGGAGCCCCCUACGGGGGGUCGCAGAGAAAUGGCCCAAGCAACUGUUUACCAAAAACACAGGUCUAUGCUAAAUCGAAAGAUGACGUAUAUGGGCUGACGCCUGCCCGGUGCCGGAAGGUUAAGAGGAGAUGUCAGCGCAAGCGAAGCAUUGAAUUGAAGCCCCGGUAAACGGCGGCCGUAACUAUAACGGUCCUAAGGUAGCGAAAUUCCUUGUCAGGUAAGUUCUGACCCGCACGAAUGGCGUAAUGAUUUGGGCACUGUCUCAACAGCCCGCCCGGCGAAAUUGUAGUACUGGUGAAGAUGCCAGUUACCCGCAACUAGACGGAAAGACCCCAUGGAGCUUUACUGCAGCUUAAUACUGAAAUUCGGUAGUACAUGUACAGGAUAGGUGGGAGACUGAGAAAUACAGGCGUCAGCUUGUAUGGAGUCGCUGUUGGGAUACCACUCUUGUACUGCUGGGUUUCUAACCUGCGGCCGUGAAUCCGGUCGGGGGACACUGUUAGGCGGGCAGUUUGACUGGGGCGGUCGCCUCCCAAAAGGUAACGGAGGCGCUCAAAGGUUCGUUCAGCACGGACGGAAAUCGUGCAAUGAGUGUAAACGCAUAAACGAGCCUAACUGCGACACCGACGGGUGGAGCAGUAACGAAAGUUGGAGUUAGUGAUCCGGUGGUAUGUGAGUGGAAAUGCCAUCGCUCAACGGAUAAAAGCUACCCUGGGGAUAACAGGCUGAUCUCCCCCAAGCGUCCACAGCGACGGGGAGGUUUGGCACCUCGAUGUCGGCUCGUCGCAUCCUGGGGCUGAAUUCGGUCCCAAGGGUUUGGCUGUUCGCCAAUUAAAGCGGCACGCGAGCUGGGUUCAGAACGUCGUGAGACAGUUCGGUCCCUAUCUGUUGCGGGCGUAAGAGAUUUGAAGGGAGCUGUCCUUAGUACGAGAGGACCGGGAUGGACGUACCUCUGGUGCACCAGUUGUCCUGCCAAGGGCAUAGCUGGGUAGCUAUGUACGGACGAGAUAAACGCUGAAAGCAUCUAAGCGUGAAACUCCCCCUAAGAUGAGAUCUCUCAUCCUUCAAGGAGUAAGGACCCAGAAAGACGAUCUGGUUGAUAGGCCGAAGGUGGAAGCGCAGUAAUGUGUGCAGCUGAUCGGUACUAAUAGUCCGAGGGCUUGACCUA